rnacentral:rRNA from 1 species
GAGUUUGAUCCUGGCUCAGGAUGAACGCUGGCGGCGUGGAUAAGGCAUGCAAGUCAAACGGCCCUUCGGGGCAGUGGCAAACGGGGUAGUAACAGGUAGGAAUGUACCCAGAAGUCAGGAAUAACCCAUCGAAAGAUGGACUAAUACUUGAUAGUCUCGCGAGAGUAAAGAUUUAUCGCUUCUGGAGCAGCCUGCUUCGUAUCAGCUUGUUGGUAGUGUAAUGGACUACCAAGGCUAUGACGCGUAGGGGAGCUGAGAGGCUGACCCCCACCAUUGGUACUGAGACACUGACCAAACACCUACGGGUGGCUGCAGUCGAGAAUCUUCCGCAAUGGACGAAAGUCUGACGGAGCGACGCCGCGUGAUCGAUGAAGUCUUUCGGGAUGUAAAGAUCUUUUAUCAGGGAGGAAGUUUAUUGACGUUACCUGAUGAAUAAGAGGUUGCUAAACUCGUGCCAGCAGCAGCGGUAAUACGAGUGCCUCAAGCGUUAUCCGGAAUUAUUGGGCGUAAAGGGUGCGUAGGCGGAUUUAUUAGUCUUUUGUUAAAGACCCGGGCACAACUCGGGAAGGGCAAGGGAAACGGUAAGUCUAGAGGGUAUGAGGGGUAAGCGGAACUAAUGGUGUAGGGGUGAAAU